rnacentral:rRNA from 1 species
UACCGCAUGCGCCAGGGAGGGCCGCUGCUGCUGCUAGACUACUUGCAGGAGUCCGAGGGCGAGUCCGUUGAGGGACGGACCCACUUGUUCCUGCUGGAGAUGGCGCUGCAAGGGGUGCAGCAGCGGCCGCUGAGGAAGGUCCGGUGCCUGCCGCGACCUUCCGGCCGCAUGAUGCAGGAGUGCGGCGAGGCGCGGUACCCUUCGGCCUGCUCCGCGUGCCAGCCGCCGCCCAACACCUUCCACCUCUUCUGGUAGUGGGAGGAUGGAUGGCGGCUGCUCCGGUUCAGAAGGUGAAGGUUCGGCCGCGGUGUUCCUUCGACGUGGUUCGAGAGCAAGUAGAGGGCCGGUGGGCCGCCCGGCCUCCCCUCCUUGCCGACCGAUUACUUCGUCAUAGACGAGGGGGUGAGCGGUCCACGGGGGCGUCCGGGGCGGGAGACGUUUAACAUAAAGUUCUUCAGCCGCCACCGCCGAUGCCGCCGCAGCUGAUGCCGCCGCCGCCGCCGCCCCUUCCGCUGGCGCCGACGAGCAGGGUCGGCGGACGGGCGUAGGCGGAGAAGGGGCUUCCCGAAGAACUUCUUCGGCCGCCGCCUCCGCGGUAGAUGCCGCCACGGCGGCCGCUGCUUCCGCCGUUGUAGGGUCCUGCGCCCGCGAGCAGGGGACGCGGACGCGCACGGCUGGAGGUGGUGAAUGCGGUCGGCCGACGCGGACGGCCGGAGGUAGGGAAUGAGGUUCUAGAACUUCUUCGGCGGGCGGCUCCGCGGUAGAUGCCGCCGCUUCCGAGGUAGAGCGCGGUCGUCGAAGGCGGCCGGACGGAGGUGGGGGACGGGCUACUUCUUCGGGCGCCGCCUCCGCGGUGGACGUCGCCUCGUCCGCGGCCGUUUCCGCCGGCUCCGCGGUAGAUGCCGCCGCUUCCGAGGUAGAGUGCGGUCGUCGAAGGCGGGCGGACGGAGGUAGGGGACGGACUUCUUCGGGCGCCGGCUCCGCGGUAGAUGCCGCCGCUUCCGAGGUAGAGUGCGGUCGUCGAAGGCGGGCGGACGGAAGUAGGGGACGGACUUCUUCGGGCGCCGCCUCCGCGGUGGACGUCGCCGCGGCCGCGGCCGUUUCCGCCGGCGCCGGGGAACGCGGUCGGUCCUGAGGUGCGGAGGUGACGCGGCGGUCGAGAGGGGGCCGUGGUGUGGGCCGUCCUCCACCCACGACCACCUUUGGCUCCGCUGGUCGGGGGGAGGGGUCGGUUUGGUACUAGCGUAGGAGUUCGCUUAGAUGUUCGAGCGUCUCGACCUCCAUCAGCUACAGCUCCUUCCGCUUGAAAACCUCGUCCCCGUGAUAGAAUCUUUUUUUCCUUUUAAGAGAACGCUGUUCAGGAGCAAAUACGAGGAAUUCCUGCUGAUAACAUCGAAGUCCUCAUCCCUCGAAAGGACUUGAACCAUCGUGUCCUUCCUUUUGAACCAUCAUGUCCUCCCUCGAAAGGACUUGGUAGGAGAGAAGAUUCACCAUACCUAUUUCAACGGAAGAAGUAUUCGGUUUAUUACGUAUAAGAACUUACUGUCUGAGACAAGGAAACAAUCGUAAAGGAACCUAGUUUUAGUAUCAAUAGUAUAUAUGAAACCGAGCAUGUGUUAAAACACCCACCGUUGGAAACUCAUAAAGUAUGAUACGUGGUUAUACAAAGGGAGUUAUCUUGAAUUAACAUGGUUAGACGUUACCACAAAGGAACAUCUUCCAUUUACAUUCUUUAACUGACGUAAGGACAGACCAACGAAAGUUAUUUCCUACUUAAUACUUAUACUUAGAAGGUUUCAAACAAUUAAUUUAACUAAUAUCAAGGUUGGUUUUCGAAAAAAAUAGGAGUGAACGAUGAAACUGAGAGCCACGAAAGACUACACGGUAGUAAAUAAAUAAAGCUUCAGAACUAAAAAAAACUUACACUUCCAAGUUUUAUAAUUGACGAACUUUACUCCACCGGUAAAGUAGUUCUCUAAUCUUUAAGAUAAGUGUGACCGUUUUUAUACGAAUGACCUGUUGACAACAGAUUAAAGACACUGGAAUAAAUCAAAGUCAAACACAACAGACGCCGUGUCUGUGAGUAAAGUUUCCGUCCCGACGCAGUUGCUACGCGCAGUUAUUAAUCCGACUACCUUUAUCGUUUGAAACCCGCGCCAGAGGAGCUAGGACAUCGUAGAAGCGAGAAACCGGUAAUGAACACGAGGAAAGCGAUCAAGGAAGUAAAAAGUAUACGAUCAGAUGUUAAACAGUAACAGUGUCACAAACGUUAAAAAAAAGACGUCCAGUACGAGUUGAAAAAGUGGGAGAUUUGGACACAGGUCGAGUCACGGUUCCGCUUCCCUUCGGGGUUAGUGGUUCUACCGCCUCUUCGAAGACAUAACAGCAGAACCGUAGUGUCUUCUCCCACAAGGUUCCGGCAGACGGUAGGUAACGGUAGCUACGUAACGCGCGGGAGAAGGUUGAACUGACACUGGAGAGGUGUCGGUAGCUUCUACGAGGACAACGGGUACCUCACUAGACCUGGCGGUUUCUGUGUGUCUACCAACACCAAAGGCGACACCAGCUCAAGGGACUAGCAUCGAAUCAGAAAACACUCUACACACAACUCUACGACGAACGACAUGGUUGGUCGUCAGACGAAGAGCACUACAAGGGGAACGACAUGGUUGGUCGUCAAACAAAUGGGACAACCCGUUGACAUCCCCAACACUUUACAUCCAUUGCAGAGAUUUACUACUGAUACUACAAAUACUUACGACUGAUACUACAAAUAUACGAC